rnacentral:rRNA from 1 species
UACGUAGGGGGCAAGCGUUAUCCGGAAUUAUUGGGCGUAAAGAGUGCGUAGGUGGUUACCCAAGCGUAAGUUUUAAUGGAGAGGCUCAACCUCUUCUCGCCUUGCGAACCGGGCUACUUGAGUGCAGGAGGGGAAAGCGGAAUUCCUGGUGUAGCGGUGAAAUGCGUAGAUGUCAGGAAGAACACCGGUGGCGAAGGCGGCUUUCUGGACUGUAACUGACACUGAGGCACGAAAGCGUGGGGAGCAAACA